GCUGGACUGAGGGGAAACCAAGGCCCGGAAUGGGGGCGGGCUCAGCUUCUGCCAUUAGCUUGGGCCCGGCUUCCCCUCCCGUCCAGGCAUCCAGUUCCGGCUCUGCCCACUGGGUAGCCAGCCGGCCGGGGCCAGUGCUUUGCUGCCUGCCUGCUUCAGACUGGCCCGGUCACCCCGAAAAGCUGACAAAAGCCAGCUGCCCUCCCAGUGGUUGCCCGGCAGGCAGACACCCAGAGGCGUGAUGCCUGCCCUGGUCUGGCACGAGAGGCUGCCAGGAGGGCCCUUGGAAAGCUCCUCUCCACUCCCACUCCCAGGGGCUCUGCAGCUCCUUUCCGGAAUGGCUUCCCGAUGAGGUCAUGCCGCUCAGAGCGAGGGAGGAGGCCGCAGGGAAACGCUGCUGGCCGGGCCCCAGUUCGCCUGGAAGAUGGCUGCUCGCGGCCUCCAGGCCUGCCUGCCCAAUGCUGCCAGACGGGGGCCACGGGGCCAAUCGGGGAGAGGACGCCGGGCUGGGACGCUUGGCGGCCUCGCUCUGGGGCAGCCCAGGGGACCCCGGAUGUUGACUCGUCUCCUGGCCUCGAUGGCGCGGCCCCCCGGCCCCCAACCUCGGCCGCGGCCCCGCACUGAGCCCGGAGCCCGGCCUGUGAUCACAGCAGCGCCCGCAGGGCACCGAGGCCCGGGCCGAGGGGGAGUGGACGCACUCUGGGCCGCAAGGGCGGCCUCGCAGCACCGUCGCCUCGGGAGCUGCCCGACAUGCCGGCUCCAACCUGCCAAGCUGCAGGUUCCUGGAACAUGAGUCCUUUCCGGCUACAGAGCAGAGAGCUCGAGGCCGCCCGCCUUCCUGUGCCGGGGCCCGGAGGAAAUGCUGAGCUGGCGCACGCGGAGGGCGGCCAGGGCCUUCGCCCACGCCCCCGUCAGACCUCCCCUGGCCCAUGCGAAGCCAGGCCCCGUUUCCCUGUCAAGCCUGGCACCGCUCCCUUCCUGGGGCUCUGGUCCAGGCUCCUCUGCAGGUGGGACCUGCCCAGGAGACUUGGGAACUGAGCAGGGAAGUGUCCCAAGGGGUGACUCACCUCCCUCCCCCACGGAGGCCACAGGAGCCAGCGUGACCCAACAGCCCCCGGGCCUCCCAGGGGGGAGGAAGGGACACUGAGCUUUGAAACUGCCCCAUGAGGGCUGGGGGAACAGGGUCCAUGGAGGCCUCAUCGGGCCCUCCCUGGGGCCUGGCAGCCAGAGGAGGGUCACCCCCACCCCGAGGGUGGGCCCAGCUGGAGGUGCAGCAGGAUCCCUGCUCUUGGUGGCCUUUGGGACUGGCGGUGGGCAGAGCGAGCAGGGCAGGCCUCGGCCUCUGCAGGCCUGGCCAGUCCCGUCUCUGCCUCGAAUUCGUUGUGUGACGUUGGCCAAGGCCCUGCUCUCCAUCUGCAGCCCGGAGGCGUGGGGUCAGGGGCCCCCCAGGCCUGAAAGCUCAGGCCCAGGACCGCAGCUGUGUGGGGUGGGAAGCCUCUCUCUGGGCCUCGCCUCGCAUUUCCACGUUGGAAGAGAUCCAGCCACCGCCGGGUAGCACCCCGCGCACAGAGGAGGGCCCGGGUGCGGGAGUAAACGGCCGGGCCGGGAUCCGAGCCCAGACUCCUCUGCUGGCCCCGAGUGACCCCGCUGGGCCUCCUCGCCUCCCUCCCGCUCUCCCUGCCCGAAGCACAGGCUCCAGGAGGGCCAGACUCCGGCUCCCGGAGCAGAACUGCUCCCCUCUGCUGCCCCCUGGUGGCUGAAGUGACACAUGGCGGCCCAAUCCCCAAACCCCGGGCACCGCCGGGCCGGGCGCCCUCACACGCAGAGACACCCACAGAUGUGUGCACCCACGGGGACACAGAUGCCCUCACUAGCAGCUCUGGCUAAGAGCACCACCUGGCUUAUUUCACUGAAUCUCCCUGUCUUCCCAUAGACGGCGUUACCCCUUUACAGAUAGGGAAUCCAAGGUUCAGGGGCUCGGUGGGCAGCCGGGCAGACCCUGCAGGGAGGUGAUUUGUCAGGUGGCUGGUGGAGUUCGUCAUCAGACGCCUCAGGGUGGAAAACUGCCCCAGUCAGCAGCCACCGGGGCUUGAGGCUGUGGAAGGGGAGGAGGAGUGAGGGAGCCCGGGGCUCCCUCUUCUGUAGGGGCGGACGGCCACCCAACUGAGGAAGAGAAGGGCCCAGUUCAUGGGAACAGGAAGGCGCGUGUCUGGGACGGCGUCCCGGGGCCCUGGGUGUAGGGGCAGGAGUGGGGCGGUGCCACCGUCCUGGGACAGAGGGGAGUCGGGACCCAGGCCCACACCUGGAGUCCCCAGAGCCAUCACUACCCUCUCUGGCUUCUGGCCUCCAGGACCAGGCUCUGCACUGGCUGAGUCCCCACCACGUGUUAGCUCUGCGCCAAGGCUGCACGCCCCUCCCCUCGUCCUUACCGGUCACCGAGGGCUUUCACAGGGGAGGGAGAUGCGCUCAGAGGUCCAGCAACCUGCCUAGGGCCACGUGGUGGCCACAGCGGCGGGCUGCCUGAGGACCCACGUUCCCGACAGCAUCCUCGGGAUGGGGGUGGGAAGGCUGGCGGGUCAGUAGCUAAGGACAUGCUGGCCACUCCUCUCUGCAGGUGCUUGCUCACCUGGGUGCCCUCUCUGCUCCCUAAGGUCUGACUGCCUUCGCCUCCCUGCCCGCAGAAAGCACCGUCAGGCUCUUCGGCUAGCCUCCACCCCAACCCCCGUUCCCUGGCGCCUGCCUGGACACCCAUCACAGUGGGCACAGUGCUGGUGCCAGGCCAGGCAUGAGACAGGAACCCAGCAGGGCCACAUGGCUUUAGGAUCCGCUGAACCCGAGUGUCAACUUUUGCUGGUGGGGAAACUGAGGCCCAGAGAGAGGAAGGGCUUGACUAGGCCCAGGAUGGGCCAGACACAGAGUUGGAGUGGGAUCAGAGCCAGAAUCCAGGGGUCCCCAUCACUGGUCCCACAUCUGUGGCACUGAGUCCCGGGAGAACAGCAGGGACAGAGGACAGGUGGGGUCUCCCAAGUCCCUCCACCCCUGUCUCCCCGAGUUUCCCACAGGAAAGGAGACAGGGAGGGGCACCACUGUGCCUGUGUGACUGGUGACGGGCGGGCGUGAGGCUUGGCUGGGCCCCAGGGGGGCAGCGAGGGGAAGCCGUGGGCAUACCCUGUCUCCUGCUCGUCCCCGGGCAGUCCCCGGGGACCCUUAUGGAAUGACUGACGGGAGGUGGGGAGAAUGCUUACAUAAUCCAGGGGACACCAUCUUGCUGUCCCAUGACCUACGCCUUCAGGCCAAGCAGAGGUAACAAGGCCCGAGGUAGUCGUGCCAAAAACACGCCCAGGGCCUGCCCGUGUGCCCAGCCACUGGUCCUGUGGCAGUUCACCCGGGGGUCCUCAGGUAGGAUGCAAGGUGUUCGAGCCAGUCUGCCCAGCUCCUUCCAGGUCCCUGCCUAUCUGGCUGUGUGUCACUGGGCAGCUCACUCAACCUCUCUGUGCCGCUUCACAAAGCACAGUGAACAAACACACAGAAGAUGCUAUAGCACCUGGUGCAAGAGAAACGCUGAAUGGAUCCUAGGUAGCGCUGUUGAUGUGAUGGGUCAAAGCCAGGGAUUUGGGGGGAAGCAGAGGCGGCCCUGCUCUCGGGGUCUCCAAGUCUAGAGGCAGAAACUUGGCUGAUGUCACCAUCCGGGCAGCCUGGGGCAGGAGGGAGUGACUCAUUCCCUGGGACGUGGGGUUUGGUAAGGAGGGCGGGGAGGGACCCGCCUGGCCCUGAAGAGGUGUGCAGCAUCACAUCACAGGCAGAGGGGCUGGGGUCGGGGGUGCAGGAGGCGGGGGGGGGGUGCAGGGCGAGGUCAGUGCUAGGCAGGCAGGUUCUAGGAGGUCUGAGUUUGUGCCGUGAGUGGCCCUAGCUGGAAAAGCCAUCCAUUCGUCCCCGUGGCAAUGGCCACGACGCCCCUGUGGGGGAGGCCGAGGUGAGCGCUGCCUCCACAGGGCCUGGGCAGACCGGAGGUACCUGGCCCCCAUCACCCCUGUGUCCUGGAGUCUCCGUCUCGGGGCCAGGCCGGGGCUGUUGAAGGGGGGCAGGGGCUGCGUGAGGCCUGCGUGAGGCCCUGCACAGCUGGAUGCAAUUAGGAAAGCUGAGACGUUAUUGUUUUGGGGUUAAAUCGAAACUAAUCUCCCCAAGGUGAUGGCCAGACACCUCAAGGGUGUGUUCUCGCGAUGUAGCCCCUUGGGCUCCGGAAGCGGGGCCCCUGGGUUCCAGGGAUGUGUGGAAAGAGGAUAGUAAGGGCCCUGCUGCCCCGCGGGCCUGGUCCAGCCGGAACAGGGUGGCGUGGGUUCCUCCCACCCCAUCCUGCAAAUCCCAGCUCCGUCCGCCUCCCACUGAGCCCGCCCCCUCCCACCCCGGCUCAGCUGCACUAUUGGCCCAGCCCUGCCCCGCCUCCGCUGGCUCUACCCCCGCACCUUUCCCCUCCACCUCCAUUCGUCCACCACCUGGGCCGUUUUCUUAAACUUCCAGGUGGCCCAGCCCGGGCUCCCCACCCUUGGGGAGACCUCACUGCACCCCUCAAGGCUUCCCCACCCUGCACGCCAGUUCCCGUGGCUUUUGACACCCACUACCUUGUUUGUCCCACGACACUGGGGGGCAUUUCAGUCAGAUGGAGACAUCGAGGCCAGGGAGCAGAAGGAACGUCUGGAAGGUCCCGGGGUGAAAGCAAAGCCAGGUCUGGGAGGCAGGGUCUGAACCCCCUCCCACUGAGCACCAGACAGAGGGUGUGGGACCCAGGAGCUGGGAAACGGGGGCAGGGGGCUGCCGCCAUGUCCACCGAGGGACGCAGCCCCACUCUUGGCCUCCAGUGGCCUCCGGCGCGGGGCAGCCAGGCUGCAAGGGCCUUGGAAACACGACCGGGGCUGUUUGUUCAGCUGUCUGCGUUGGCGUCUGCUCCCCCUCUGGGGCCUGGUCUUUCUGGAGUUAAAAUACCCAGCCCUGCCCCCACCACCGGGCAGUGACCUGCUCAAAGCAGGAGGUCUCUGCAGGAGGCUGGUGGGCAAAGCCGAGGAGUGGAGGCCCGGGCCUCGGCCCGAGCCACGUGGAGGCGGUGGGACCCAGGGACCACCCUCUCCGAACAGGAGUGCACAUCUUCUCUCCCCAAGGUUGCUGCGGGGCAAGGGCCCUGCUAAAGGAAGUGGAGAGCACCCUCGUUUUGGGGCAUUUGAGGAGCAUUUCAUGAAGGAACAUGGCCGUGUGCAGAGCUGAGGACGAGCUGCCGGGGAUGAGCAGUUCUCUGGAGCUGGUGGCGGAGGGUCGGAGGUGGGCUUGGGCCCCCAGCCUGGAGCCGGCCUUUGGUAGAGGCCCCCGUCCUCCUGCCAGUGCCGCCUACGGGCUGAGCCCAAGUGGACGUCAGCGCUCAGGAAGCCUGUACGUGCGUCCCUCCAUCCAGGUCAGCCUCCGGGCGGCUGGAGCUGGCGGAGAGUGGGUCUGCAGAUGCAAAGGGAAAGGGGGCAGCAAAGCCCCCGAAGAAGGGAGACUGUGGCUAUAGAAAGUUCCUCGUCAGGUGUAGGGGUGGAAGCAGCCACCGUACUUUCUUGCUCCAGAAACGCAGAGAAGCCCCGCCUGGAGCCAAACAAAAAGAUGGAACUCUGUGGCCUUUCUUUAGAACCUUACUGAUGCCGCCGUCCAGGGGCGGCAUCUAAUUUCCCUCGCCCUGGGUUGCCUGGGUGAGUAGAAGGUGUGGAAGGGCGCUGGGUGGGCUCGGGGGCUGGGCUGUGGCAGCCGGCACCGCCACCCGGCCUUCUCGGGCACUGGCUCUAGGAACCCAGCCGGGUGAGGUGCAGCCACGUUGAGGGGUCACAGCUGACAGCCGGUACUGCCCGACGUGGGAGCGAGGCUCCUGCAGUGACUCCAGCCCCUGGACCCUGAGCCACCUCCAGCGAGGGCCCCGACCUGGUGCAGCAGAGGUGAGGUGCUCCUGCUGCACUCGGUUCAAAUUCUGGACCCAGGGAGUCCAUGAGGGCAGCGGCAGAGAGAAGGGAGAUCUCUCAGGGAAGGACAAUGGAUUCUGUCCAGCUUUUGACACUAAAAUAGACUUUUAAAAGCAUGGCUGAGACCACAUUUUUGAAAGAAAAACAAGAAAAGGAGCUUCUAGAAGCCGGAACCCCAGCCAACGUGAGUUCACAUCCCAAACAAUGGCUCUGGGGAGAUGAUGAGCCAGUGACCCUGACCUGGCGCGGCGGCGGGCCUCCAGGGGGGUUGGGCCUAAGGGGGUUGCAGACCCUCAGGACAGGGCCGGGCUGGGCUCUGAGGGUUUGGCGAGCCUGGCCUGUGCCCGCUGCCCUGAGAUCGCAGGGGGCGGAGCCACGUGCUGCUCCCGGCUUUGGUGAAGGUGAGGUGGGGUGGUCCUGCAGUGGCCACGAGAGCACGUCCACUCUUCCAGAUGCCCCAAGAGGGAUGUGCAGCAAUUGAGGCAUGGGUGGCCCGGGGGACCUGGCUGGAAGGAGGACCCCGGAGGCUGCCUGCCUGGACAGAGGGCGUCCGAGGCUGGGCGCUGCCGACGGUGACGUUGAAGGAGAGAGAUGCCACUGGAGAAAGAGCGCUCUGAGGGGACUUAGGUUACCCUGUUGACCAAGAUCACGGGUCUGCUAGAGCCAGAGCAUUAGAUACGAAUUCGACUAUGAACAAGUGGAUUCCGUCUUGCCCGCCGGACGUAGCCAUCUUUCCUCAAGGAUGCCCAGCCAGGCGGGGUGUCUCGGCCCCUGAAACCCCAGCCCAGGGUGGGCGCCAUGGGGUCCAGGGGACACUGUGGCUUCCCAGGAUUGACUUCUGCACCGGCCCAGCCACCAAUCCCUGUGCCUGGAGUCUAAGGUCCAGUUCCCUUGGGGCCAGAAACUGAAGCCUCUGCGGCUGUAGGGCCUUGGUGGGAACCGAGCAGCAGGAUUCUUUUCCUUUGGGGGAGGAGGCCGAGGCCACCCCUGGAGUCGUUUCACUUGUAAAUUAGGUCUUGGCUUUUC